ACUAGGGAUCGGACAAUCUCAAUAAUUAUGUGUUGUCCGGCACCUUACGAGAAAUCAAAGCCUUUGGGUUCUGGGGGGAGUAUGGUCGCAAGGCUGAAACUUAAAGGAAUUGACGGAAGGGCACCACCAGGUGUGGAGCCUGCGGCUUAAUUUGACUCAACACGGGGAAACUCACCAGGUCCAGACAUAACUAGGAUUGACAGAUUGAUAGCUCUUUCAUGAUUUUAUGG
rnacentral:rRNA from 1 species